AUUGAACGCUGGCGGCAGGCCUAACACAUGCAAGUCGAACGAGUGGCGGACGGGUGAGUAAUGUCUGGGAAACUGCCUGAUGGAGGGGGAUAACUACUGGAAACGGUAGCUAAUACCGCAUACCAUCGGAUGUGCCCAGAUGGGAUUAGCUAGUAGGUGGGGUAAAGGCUCACCUAGGCGAAGAUCCCUAGCUGGUCUGAGAGGAUGACCAGCCACACUGGAACUGAGACACGGUCCAGACUCCUACGGGAGGCAGCAGUGGGGAAUAUUGCACAAUGGGCGCAAGCCUGAUGCAGCCAGGCCGCGUGUAUGAAGAAGGUCUUCGGAUUGUAAAGCACUUUAAGUUGGGAGGCGUUACCAACAGAAUAAGCUCCGGCUAACUUCGUGCCAGCAGCCGCGGUAAUAC
rnacentral:rRNA from 1 species